rnacentral:rRNA from 1 species
GGGUCAGUAGGUUGGUCGUGCCACCGGUACGUACUGGUCUCACUGAUUCCUCCUUCCUGAAGAACCGUAAUGCCAUUAACUUGGUGUUGUGGGGAAACAGGACUGUUACUUUGAAAAAAUUAGAGUGUUUAAAGCAAGCUAACGCUUGAAUACAUUAGCAUGGAAUAAUGAAAUAGGACGAUCGAUCCUAUUUUGUUGGUUUCUAGGAUUGACGUA